rnacentral:lncRNA from 1 species
UUUUUUUGGAUUUUUGAGUUAUAACAUACUUUUUCAAAUACAAGAUAAGAAGUACAAUAACAAAAUACUCGGUAUUACUGUACAAAACUAGAAGGUAAAAGACGAUAUAAAAAGAAAAACAGACUCAAAACAUUAAAAAAAUCUCCUUAAGCAACUCCUGAAUGAGCGAUCAUGACUAAAAGGUCCCGGGGUGUCUGUCAUGCUCAAACUCUGUUAAGUAGAUCCACACCUGUAUGAGAAAACUGAAACCAACACUAUGUGAGACAAUAACACUACCUACUGGACCUAUGCAAGACAUGAUUGAGGCUAUUUUUGCAAAACAAUUUAUGUGGCCAAAAGGUGGCUAGAAGUGCAAACUCGACAAAAGUGACCUCUAAGACAUGGAAAAAUUACUUUGCAGAAAUAACCCAUUUCAUAGAAAUGGUCUAUGUGAACAAAAAUGGCUAAGCAUGCAAAUUCAACACAAUGGACCUUAAACAGAGAGGACAUCUUGUUGUGGAUUUAGGACUCUAAGACAUGGGUUAAUUGAACCACUCUUGCAAAAAUAGCCCUAUUCUGCAAAAUGGACGAUGUGGCCAAAAGUGGCUAGAGAUGCAAGAUUUGGCUACGACCCCGCAAAGCCAAAAACCUAAGACUUACUAGGAAGAUUGGACCCUAUGUGGGUUGCCUACGUAUCCCGCCCGAGAGACGAGCAUCAGGUUCGCAUAGUUCGAAGAUUGGAUACGAGCGAGAAUUAAAAACAACUAAUUUAGAGAACAUAUAUUUUUUUUGUCUUUUUUGAAAAAUGAUGAAACAUGUAAACUCUUUUUGGAUUUUUCAAGUCUUUUUUUGUCUCUUUCUUAAAAAAAAUGUGAAAGAAAAACAUAACUGGGCCCUACUUGCUUUAUUUAUUUAUUUUUACACUUCACCCUCUUUUUUCUCAUUUAUCCUCAAACUUCAUUGGUCUGCCAAAUGACCUCUUUUACCCUUGAAAGUUAUAACAUGUAGCACAUAGGAUGCACCAGGAUGGUCUUUUAUUUGUUGGGUAUACCUGUCCUAGACGGACCCAACUCUUGUGUUGAGUCCCCAAAGUCAGAUGCACGUGAUGCAAACAAGCGUUCCUACUAGGGAUCCAGCAUGAGACUAUGUUAUUCUAGGUUUAAAUCCUGGGUGUAUUGUUCUAGACUCGGCUUACCCGAGCGGAGGGGAGUGUACCGGCACCAAAAGAUCAUCCGACUUUAUAACUUGUCCAAACCUCGUUCUAAAUUAGGAUGUGACUCUAACUGAAAAGAAGUCACGCCAGUGUGCACUUCCUAGAAGAUUAGAAGAGAAGGGUUUCGCAACAAUUUAUAUACAGUUCAAAUAAUAUCAAAACGGUAAAAAGCGGUAAUUAGCACAUUAGGCUCAAACAUGUAAAAUCAGAUAAUAAAUGAAAGCCAAGUAUAAUAGUUAUUCUAAGUUCGAAUUCUUGAACCCUGAACCAGAGAUUUUGGGUUCUUGUCCCCAGAAGAGUCGCCAGAGCUGUCACACCUCCUUUUUCUACCACCAGAAGCGGUAUAAGAGAGUUUUACUAAUUAAAGUGACAAUAAUCAAAAUGGGAUUAUUUAUUUAAGAUUAAGAGUCACCACUUGGAUAAUUUAUGGUGUCCCAAGUCACCGAUUUAAAAUCCCGAAUCGAGGAAGUUUGACUCUUAUUUACGGUUUGCGAACACCAAAAUCCGGGUAAGGAAUUCUGUUAAUCCGGAAGAAGGUGUUAGGCUUCCCGGGUUUCGUGAUUUUAGCAUGGUCGCUCAACUAUUAAUAUUGGCCUAAUUAUCUGAUUAAUUACAUAUUUUAACCUAUUGUGCAUUUUUUUUACCUUUGAUCGCUUUUAAUUAUUUAUGGCAUUAUUUUGGAACAAGUUACGAUUGUCAUAUACUUGUUUAUUUGGUACACAUUGCGAAUCGUGUCACGGGAACCGCCCCCACAAUCUACAACAUGUUUACUUUAUUAAUAUUAUUAGAAGUUGUGGUCGGGUCACAUGAAAUGUGCAUCUAGAUUUGGGAAUAACGUAUCGUAAACAUGUCACGGGAACCGUACCCAUAGUCACGACGAUUCAUUAUUACUAAUCGCUCCCAAAGCAAGCUACAAUAUUCAUGAAUAUUAACGGCCUAAGCAUGCUCCUAACGAUGACAAAUUGAUGAUAUAAAAGUAAGUUUGCUAUUAAAUCUAAUUCGCAUGUGCAGAUUACGACCAAAGCUCAAAUCCGUUUAAACCCAAUUAACCAGAUUCCCAUCCUGCAAUCCCAUGUAUAGUCCAAUCGUCCCUUUCAUUUUUCUUCUCCUUAUGUUGAUUGAAUUUCAUAAAAACCAUUACUGAACCGAUUCUAUUUCGGUUCAAAAAGGCAUGUGAAAUUUAAUUCAAGAAAUUAACUUAACAUGUACAAACUAAUUCAUUUCAAUCACAGCAAGAAAUUAAUAGUGAAACAGUCAUUCAUUUAAACCAAACUCACUGGAAAACAAGCAUUAUGAGAUAGAGAAUUUGGCAAACCAGAUCAUAUUCUAGGUUUAAUAAUAAAAUCAAACACCAAACAAACCAAACCAUAUUCUAGUCGCAUGAUCUAACAGAAGAACAAUUGGAGUGGGAAAGAAAUGGACCUCAAAACAAAACUUGACCGUGAUAUGUUUGGAAACUUUAAAAUGUGAGUGUGGAACAAGGCCUGGACCAAUAAGUUGAACGGAGAUCUUGAACGGAAAACCUUUCGGCGACCUUGAAUCUUACUCGAACAUAAGAGAAAAAAAGCACAAAGAGUAAACCAAAACUCUACGUCUAGAUCUUUUGGGGUUGCGCGGCGUAACUUAUCGAGCCUUGUUGCUCUAUUUUUGAGAGACGAAGAAGAACAAGUAUGGGUAUGGUGUUUUCAGUGGUGAAGGAGAUGAAGGAGGUCAGGUUCAUUGGGUGAGGGUGUGGCUGUUGCAGCUCGUUUUCCGGUGAGCUGGGAUUGGAGUUGGGAAGUUGUGGUCGUUGGUUGCUCGUCGUGGAGAUGGGACGACGACGACGGCAGAAAUGGCUUUCCGGCAGGUUUCAGGCUUGGUUCAAAAGGGUAUGAAACGAGAGAGAUGAGAGGUUUUGAAAAAUGGGGGCAUCUGGUUUGGUGAGAGAGAAGGGUAGACGCUUACCUUAGUUCUUUUUGGAGAGGAGUUCCCGUUUUUAGGUGUGCCUUCGUUUGUGAAGAAGAUCCAGUUCAGGGGGGUCUCUUAGUUAGAAGAAGGUCCAAUGGCUGAAACUUCUCUUCUUCAGUCAGAGUGAGAGAUCGUAGAUGGGUGGCUUAGGGAGACGGCUGGUGGUUGAACGACGAUCACUGUUGAUGGGUUCUUCAUUGCUAAGGUUUGGGGUCUCUAGGUUUUUUUGUGUUCAAGAGGUGAAGAAGAUGAUAUGGGUCUUGUGUGUUUUUCAAAAAUCAGAAACGACUGUUCAUCCUUGUCUAGGUUAGGGUCCUUU